rnacentral:rRNA from 1 species
UGGGGAAUAUUGCACAAUGGGCGAAAGCCUGAUGCAGCGACGCCGCGUGAGUGAUGACGGCCUUCGGGUUGUAAACCUCUUUCAGCAGGGACGAAGCGCAAGUGACGGUACCUGCAGAAGAAUCACCGGCUAACUACGUGCCAGCCGCCGCGGUAAUACGUAGGGUGCAAGCGUUGUCCGGAAUUACUGGGCGUAAAGAGUUCGUAGGCGGUUUGUCGCGUCGUUUGUGAAAACCAGCAGCUCAACUGCUGGCUUGCAGGCGAUACGGGCAGACUUGAGUACUGCAGGGGGGACUGGAAUUCCCGGUGUAGCGGUGAAAUGCGGAGAUAUCGGGAGGAACACCGGUGGCGAAGGCGGGUCUCUGGGCAGUAACUGACGCUGAGGAACGAAAGCGUGGGUAGCGAACAGG